rnacentral:lncRNA from 1 species
GCUGCUUCCUGGAGGAAAUGAUGGUUGGGCUGAGGCAGAAAAGAUGAGUGAGAGUUAAUCAAAUCAAGAAAAGAAAGAAGAGCAUUCCAGGCAGAGGGAACAGCAUGUGCAAAGGCUCUGAGGCAGGGGGGCAUGGUGUGAUACACACUUACACACUGUUCGGCGUCGGGGCGUCAAGUUGAGAACCCCCACUGUCCCAUUUCCUCCCGCUGUCUCCUGUCCACACCUGAGUCUCCUCUCUGAAGGGCCUGCUGGGCCCUAUGGGGAGCAGAGAGAAACCCACGCCACCGCCUGGCCUUGAAGAGAGAAGACAAGACUCACAGGCAGAUACACCAAGUGGACCGUUGCAUCGCUUCCUCCUCUCCGAGCCUCAGUUUCCUCACCAGUGAAGUGGGCGGGCUGGACUGAGUCCUCAGGAGGGCCCUGCAGCUCUCCCGCCCUUACCUGGAAGGCUGUCUCCUCUUCUUCCAUCUCUCCUGCCCUGGCACCGCCUCCCCGGCUCCUCCGGCCCCACUCACCCCCGACUCAUCCGAAGGACGGCUUUUUAAGACUCAGCCCGGCUCCACCUGCUUCUCCCACGAAAGGCGACAUGCCAGAGGGCAGAGCAUGGCCUCGAAUGCUGCGCCAUUACUGUCAGCCGCGGACCGAGAGCCACUGCAGCCUGGUCCAACACCACUCCACCGUCUUUCAAACAGGAGUAAGGC